rnacentral:rRNA from 1 species
CCUACGGGAGGCAGCAGUGGGGAAUUUUGGACAAUGGGCGAAAGCCUGAUCCAGCAAUGCCGCGUGCAGGAAGAAGGCCUUCGGGUUGUAAACUGCUUUUGUACGGAACGAAACGGUCCGCUUUAAUACAGUGGGCUAAUGACGGUACCGUAAGAAUAAGCACCGGCUAACUACGUGCCAGCAGCCGCGGUAAUACGUAGGGUGCGAGCGUUAAUCGGAAUUACUGGGCGUAAAGCGUGCGCAGGCGGUUAUGUAAGACAGAUGUGAAAUCCCCGGGCUCAACCUGGGAAUUGCGUCUGUGACUGCAUAGCUAGAGUACGGUAGAGGGGGAUGGAAUUCCGCGUGUAGCAGUGAAAUGCGUAGAUAUGCGGAGGAACACCGAUGGCGAAGGCAAUCCCCUGGACCUGUACUGACGCUCAUGCACGAAAGCGUGGGGAGCAAACAGGAUUAGAUACCCUGGUAGUCCACGCCCUAAACGAUGUCAACUGGUUGUUGGGUGCAUUAGUACUCAGUAACGAAGCUAACGCGUGAAGUUGACCGCCUGGGGAGUACGGCCGCAAGGUUGAAACUUAAGGAAUUGACGG